UUCUGUACCUGCAUGAGAAAAUCACCAUAGCCCCUUCAAGAGAGGUCACUGGCGGUGCAAUGGGGUUUCGUAAAUCCCCGAUCCUCAACCGACUCAUCAAUAAAUUGACUCAUAGUCAGAGAGUUGCCGAUCUUCUAUAAAUAGGAAAUCCAUUCCGAUUGGAUCCAGAUAUGUUCUUAUCUGUGGAGGGAGACGAGAAUCCUGAAGAUUUGGCAAUUGAGAUCCUCGUUUCCUCCUUACACCUGUAAAGGCAUCAACCA
rnacentral:lncRNA from 1 species